rnacentral:rRNA from 1 species
UAUUAUUUUAAUUGUAAAUUAAGGGCCUGAGUAGUAUUAGUUAAUUGCUUGAAACUCAAAGAAUUUGGCGGUGUUUCAGUCUUUUCAGAGGAAUCUGUUCUAUAAUCGAUAAUACACGUUAUAUCUUACUUAAUUUUGUAUAAUCAGCUUGUAUACCGUCGUUAUCAGAAUAUCUUUUUAGAGAAUUAAUUUUCUAGAUAUUAAUGAAAUAAUAUAUCAGAUCAAGGUGCAGUUUAUAAUUAAGAAGUGAUGGAUUACAAUAAAUUUAUUUAAACGGAAUUUAAAAAUGAAAGUUGUAGAGGAAGGUGGAUUUGAAAGUAAUUUUAUUAUAAUAUAAUAAUAUGAUUUAAGCGCUGAAGCAUGCACACAUCGCCCGUCACUCUCAUUAUUUAAAAUGAG